UGUGCCGAGAGGUGAAAGAUUAAUUGCCUGGAGAUGAGCUCGCGUCUGAUUAGCUAGUUGGUGUGGUAAGAGCGCACCAAGGCGACGAUCAGUAGCUGGUCUGAGAGGAUGAUCAGCCACACUGGGACUGAGACACGGCCCAGACUCCUACGGGAGGCAGCAGUGGGGAAUUUUCCGCAAUGGGCGAAAGCCUGACGGAGCAAUACCGCGUGAGGGAGGAAGGCUCUUGGGUUGUAAACCUCUUUUCUCAAGGAAUAAGUUAUGAAGGUACUUGAGGAAUAAGCAUCGGCUAACUCCGUGCCAGCAGCCGCGGUAAUACGGAGGAUGCAAGCGUUAUCCGGAAUGAUUGGGCGUAAAGGGUCCGCAGGUGGCAGUGUAAGUCUGCUGUCAAAGAAUGAGGCUCAACCUCAUCAAGGCAGUGGAAACUACACAGCUAGAGUACGGUCGGGGUAGAAGGAAUUCCUGGUGUAGCGGUGAAAUGCGUAGAGAUCAGGAAGAACACCGGUGGCGAAAGCGUUCUGCUAGGCCUGUACUGACACUGAGGGACGAAAGCUAGGGGAGCGAAUGGGAUUAGAUACC
rnacentral:rRNA from 1 species